UACGAAGGGGGCUAGCGUUGCUCGGAAUCACUGGGCGUAAAGCGCACGUAGGCGGAUUGUUAAGUCAGGGGUGAAAUCCUGGAGCUCAACUCCAGAACUGCCUUUGAUACUGGCGAUCUCGAGUCCGGGAGAGGUGAGUGGAACUCCUGGUGUAGCGGUGGAAUGCGCAGAUAUCAGGAAGAACACCGACGGCGAAGGCAGCUCGCUGGGACGGUACUGACGCUGAGGCGCGAAAGCGUGGGGAGCGAACAGG
rnacentral:rRNA from 1 species